AACAGGUUCAAAAAAGGUUUGAACAACAUAUUGCUUAUCUUUGUGGUGUGGGGUACCGUACAAACACCUCAGCAGUACUUAAGGAAACUUCAAUAAAACUCCAUCUCUCUUCAGUA